AUUGAACGCUGGCGGCAGGCCUAACACAUGCAAGUCGAACGGUAACAGGAAGAAGCUUGCUUCUUUGCUGACGAGUGGCGGACGGGUGAGUAAUGUCUGGGAAACUGCCUGAUGGAGGGGGAUAACUACUGGAAACGGUAGCUAAUACCGCAUAACGUCGCAAGACCAAAGAGGGGGACCUUCGGGCCUCUUGCCAUCGGAUGUGCCCAGAUGGGAUUAGCUAGUAGGUGGGGUAACGGCUCACCUAGGCGACGAUCCCUAGCUGGUCUGAGAGGAUGACCAGCCCCCCGGGAAGUGAGACACGGCCCAGCCCCCUCGGGGAGGCGGCGGGGGGAAAUAUUGAACAAGGGGCGCAGGCCUGAUGCAGCCAUCCCGGGGGUAUGAAGAAGGCCUUCGGUUGGAAAAGUACUUUCGGCGGGGAGGAAGGGAUAAAAUUUAAUACCUUGGCUCAUUGAGGUUACCCGAAAAAGAAGCCCCGGCAACCCCGGUG
rnacentral:rRNA from 1 species